ensembl:lncRNA
AUGCUCAUUUACAUCCUGGACAGAGUCCUUUGGGCUUGCCAGGCCUGCUGUUUCUGCUUCCUACAGCCCAAGACUCUGGGGUGGAACUUUGGCACUGUCUCCCAGGUGACUUCAGUGGGUGAAGUCACAAAGGAAGAGUGCCCUGUGGGAAUGAGGCUCUGGCCUGAGGCACUUGGACUUGGAACCCUGAAGUCUGGCUGGUGGGCUGGAGGAGACAAGACAAGCAGAGAGUGGCCUCGCACCUGGUUGGGACCUGAGAACCCCAUGGGACGCAUCCACUCCUAUUUGCAAACCCCUUUUUCAGAGGACUUCUCUUUCAAGGGAUAAGGUAAAGGAAAUAACCAAGAACCACAAGAGUACUGUAGUUGCGACGUCAUCAUGGAAAGAAUCGCACUCAGUUAAGUUCAAUGGAAGUGAGUAUUUCAGGGGGCUUGGGGUUAGGAUAGGAAGGAGAACCAAGAGAACUCGGCCCUCUAAGAAACCAAGAUAAGAAGCAAAAAAAAGAAAGAAAGAAAGAAAGAAAGAAAGAAAGAAAGAAAGAAAGAAAGAAAGAAAGAAAGAAAGAAAGAAAGAAAGAAAGAAAAAAAACAAGAGAUUCCUGCAACCCAGAAUCCCUUCAUAGCACUUGAGUUCAACCAAAGAGUUGAACCAAAGAAGUAAGAUCAACAGUCAAUCUUUUCAUCUGUCUCUUUCUCCAAGUCUCUCUUUCUCAAAUCUUUUUCCUUCCUCAAAGCUCAAUGACACUUUCCUGCACCACCACUUUUAUCUCCUUGUAUCUUUAUUGUGUUCUUCACCGUGAACACUAACUCUGCUUUUUAAAAUCCCUAUCAAAGUUCAUUUUGUAAAUAUCAAUCCCAAGAUUACUGCCAGUAUGAAAAAUUGAGGGGUCUUUUACAUUUAACUUAAGUGGGGUGAGGAAAUUACAGCUGUGCUGAAAUAUAAGAGAAAAGAUAUUAUUAGCCCUAGUCAUGGUAUACUGGGAAAUACAUAGGAAGAAGACGUAUAACCAGCUACCAAAGAGUUGCUUUAUCAUCACUUUCCUUUGCUCAGAAAACAUAGACAAAGGUGACUUCAUUACCACAAAUAUUUUUCUAGUCUUUCAUUUCUCUGGCUUCAAAUCUUACUUUGCGUACUUACUGACCAGUCCAGGAAAUGCAGAACAAGAGCUUGACAAGUUCUCCUUCUUCAGUUUCUUUAGAAAUAAGUUGUCAGAACUUGCCAUUGUUGAGCUAGCCUCACCUGCCCAAACACCAACUUAAAUAAACUAACAGUACCUGAAACAAAAGGAAUUUCAGCCGUGAGUGUUACAUAAGCCCUGAAAAUGGCAGAGACUGAGGUGUAUUGUUGCUCGGUCUGAGCAACAUUGAAAUGUUAUUGUAAGCCUUCUGUUUAACUUGCAAUGUGCGUACCUGAGUGUCCCCUGUGGGUGGGACAGAGUGGAGCCGGGGGAAAGGGGCCCACACUCCUGACAGCAGGUAUUUUCCUAAUGCUGUGUUCUUACCUUCACCACUCCUGCUCAGCCUGGCAAUACGCAUGAAAAACAUUAAAAUACCCAAACUUCUUUUGCUAUCAGGUACUCCAAAAGAGAUGUAAAUUAGUGUCUGUCAUACAGUUAUGGUGAAUGAAUUAAAGUCAUUAAUGCUAACACAUUAUUCACAAAAUGUAACACUUUUUCCAAGUAGAAACUCAAUCAAUAUAAUGCAAUAAAUCAAACAUGAUUCAGUAUGGAAAGCAACCAGUUUCUAGUUCACUGUAAAGGGACUCAGGAUAAGGCAGCAGAACAGGUUAUUGCUUAACACAUUUUCCACUAAAAACAGAUAAAAUGUCUAAUUUCAGGCUCUGAGCAGAAUGUGUUUUAAUGCAAUUUCUUUGAAAAUUUCUGUUUCUUGUGCACCUCUGAAUAUAUACUCAAUGUGAAUUAAUUAUCACUGGUUCCUUAGCUUGUAUUUUUAUGUAUUUACUGGAAAAAAUAAAACCUGUCCCCUUUGUGUCUACACCAGAAAAGAGAAGGCGAUACCUACAUCAUCGGCAUGGUCUAUGACCCUAGAAUCAAUGUGACGCACGGAAAGUUUUUCUGUAAGACUGAGUUACAAAGAACCAUGAUGUCUUAUGUGAUUGUACCUCUGAGAUCUGCGAUAACAUUUGCUCCAUUUCUUUUGUUUUUCCGGUUAACAUUUUCAUUUCAGUGUUGCUGAUAAUUUUCUAUUAUCUCACCCUCUUUUAUGUUUCUCAUGUAUUUCCCUUUCAGUUAGUCCCAUCAAAUUAACUGAAGAAUAAAACUAUAUAAUAUAGUCUUAUUAUAAGCAGAAGAAAAUGAAGAUGAUCUGAAGAGAUAAAUCACCGAAGGUUAAUAGCUUUUUUAAAAUCAAUCUUCCUUCAAAGGAAAAG